rnacentral:rRNA from 1 species
UACGUAGGGUGCAAGCGUUGUCCGGAAUUAUUGGGCGUAAAGAGCUCGUAGGCGGUUUGUUGCGUCGGCUGUGAAAUCCCGAGGCUCAACCUCGGGUCUGCAGUCGAUACGAGCAAACUAGAGUGUUGCAGGGGAGACUGGAAUUCCUGGUGAUAGCGGUGAAAUGCGUAGAUAUCAGGAGGAACACCGGCGGUGUAGACGGCUUCUGGACCGUAGCUGACGCUGGAGACACGAAAGCGUGGGGAGCGAACAGG